GACGAACCGUGCGAACGUUAUUCGGAAUCACUGGGCUUAAAGCGCGUGUAGGCGGAUCGGCACGUCCGUGGCUGAAAGCCCCGGCUCAACCGGGGAAGGGGCGCGGAUACGGCCGAUCUGGAGGGGUAGGGGACCUGGAACUUCCGGUGGAGCGGUGAAAUGCGUUGAGAUCGGAAGGAACGCCCGUGGCGAAAAGCGACGGUCCUGGACCCUUUCUGAGCGCGUGACGUACGCGAA
rnacentral:rRNA from 1 species